rnacentral:rRNA from 1 species
UGGGGAAUAUUGGACAAUGGGGGGAACCCUGAUCCAGCCAUGCCGCGUGUGUGAAGAAGGCCUUAUGGUUGUAAAGCACUUUAAGCGAGGAGGAGGGUACUGGUAUUAAUACUACCAGGUACUGGACGUUACUCGCAGAAUAAGAACCGGCUAACUCUGUGCCAGCAGCCGCGGAAAUACAGAGGGUGCAAGCGUUAAUCGGAAUUACUGGGCGUAAAGCGCGCGUAGGUGGUUCGUUAAGUUGAAUGUGAAAGCCCCGGGCUCAACCUGGGAACUGCAUCCAAAACUGGCGAGCUAGAGUAGGGCAGAGGGUGGUGGAAUUUCCUGUGUAGCGGUGAAAUGCGUAGAUAUAGGAAGGAACACCAGUGGCGAAGGCGACCACCUGGGCUCAUACUGACACUGAGGUGCGAAAGCGUGGGGAGCAAACAGG